CCUACGGGGGGCUGCAGUGAGGAAUAUUGGUCAAUGGGCGGACGCCUGAACCAGCCAAGUCGCGUGAGGGAUUAAGGCCCUGCGGGUCGUAAACCUCUUUUGCCGGGGAGCAGAUGUCCGGACGUGUCCGGGCCGCGAGAGUACCCGGAGAAAAAGCAUCGGCUAACUCCGUGCCAGCAGCCGCGGUAAUACGGAGGAUGCGAGCGUUAUCCGGAUUUAUUGGGUUUAAAGGGUGCGUAGGCGGGCAUUUAAGCCGGCGGUCAAAUCUCGGGGCUCAACCCCGGCCUGCCGUUGAAACUGGGUGCCUUGAGUGGGCGAGAAGUAUGCGGAAUGCGUGGUGUAGCGGUGAAAUGCAUAGAUAUCACGCAGAACCCCGAUUGCGAAGGCAGCAUACCGGCGCCCUACUGACGCUGAGGCACGAAAGCGCGGGUAUCGAACAGGAUUAGAUACCCGUGUAGUC
rnacentral:rRNA from 1 species